ensembl:lncRNA
ACAGCGUUUCGGCAGGAAUCCUGAGCGCGGCAAGACCCUCAUACUCGCGUUGGAUUCCCCGGCCCGAGCUCUCUCGCUCUGUGUUGCGGAGACCGUCUGGGACCCCUAGGCAUGCCGGACACGGAUUAGCAGACACCACGGUGGGCACGGCUCUGUGGUGUGGGUGGAGGCAUCAGGAUCCGGAACCGGCACUUGGGUGGGAGGGCUGACUGGGUCUGAGUUUCUGCCCAGGUGCCGCCGCCAUCUGAAUAUGUUUCAAAGACAAUGCUGGCCUGGCAACCGGUGAUGCCCCACGCCCACCCCGACCCUCACUUCUACCCAAGUAGAGGCAACCCCAGAUACAGAUGCCUGGGCGGCAGCGGCUAAGUCUGGCAGUUGGCCAGGCGGCCAAAGGACGGGAACUGGCCGCCCACCCCAUCCUAGUUUCCACGGAGAAACUGAGCCAUCAUGGCCUCUGCGCUGUUGGCUCGGGCUAAAGAGGAACAGAUCCUCAGUUGGGCAGGCGGUGCACUUGGCGACCCUGAGAUCAUCAAGUGCCAGCCCCGCCAAUCCCCGUAGGUGCCCAAGCUGCAGCUGCCACCUGCAUGUGGGCAGCAACUGCCUGGCCACCCCCAGCCCACGACCUCAGCCUACGGAUCCUGGGGCCAGAUGCCUCAGUGGUAAAGCCAGAUGGCCCACUCUGCAACCAAUCAGUCAGCCCUAUCCGCACCCAGGCAGAGUGCUCAGCAUCUGGGUCAGGCUUCAGACCACGUGGAAAAGGAGCGGACCCUCAGGCCUGCUGGGCUGUGCUCUGUGUCCGCAACUUUGAGGCUAUCCAGGGGAAUUCCGCUUUCCCGCGCCAGUGCCUCAGCGGUUGCAGAAAACUGCAGAACUGCAAGUUGCACACAAGCAGAGAUGACGGAGCAACCCCUGACCUUCCGCACCACCCACCCUACCCGCACACCUGCCGCGCGGACCCUGGGCCAGUGCCUGGGUCCCAAGUCAGGCAGUCCGCACAGCAGCGGCACCAGGGUGGGAACCUGUUGGUUAAUACCAUCCCAGUUACCACGAAGAGCCCGCCUCGGCAGCCCCUUCGUUCUUGGAGGAGGCCAAGUCAGAGCACACCUGCGAUGAACAUGACCCUGAGGACGUCAGGUACCAGGCCUGCCAGCCCCCACUGGCAUCGGAGCCGCACCUGCAGCCUAGACGUGGUGCACAGGCAGCAAGUGACUGGACACUCCAGACCAGGCCCGCCCCCCAGUAGCGUGAAUCCUGAGGCCAGACACCCAGGCGGCAAAGUCAGGCCAUCGGCCCCACCAGCGGUUGCUGUUUCAUCGGUGUGGAUACAGAGUGCCCAGUGCCAGGGCCCAGGAUCCCGAGAGAUGUCCAAGAGGAGCUCACCUUCAGGCCAGGUAGGCUGUGCACUCGGCGACCCUGACGCCAUCUAGUGGAAGCUCCGCCAUCUCCUGCCAGUGCCAGAUCUGCAGCUGCAAACCAUUCGUGGGGCACUGGCAGCGGUGACGGCGGGUGGGGGAAGGAGCAGCUCCUGACUCUCCAUGGCUUUCCCGCUACCCGACACUAGCCACACAGACUCCAGGGCCAGAGCCUCAACGGGAAGCCAGGCCAUCCGCGAAGCCACUCAGGUGGCCGGGAGUACUCUUGCCAGCACCCUAUCUCCCUUCGGAGGAGAAGCCGUGCGGGCUGCAAGGCCAGUUCCUCCUCCUCAGGCCGGGCUGGCUGCACGCGUGCUAUCCUGGGGCCGCCCAGGCCAGCCCAGGAGAAUCCUCGAGCCUGGUGGCGCCCGCGGAGAGCUGCAGCCCCACCUGCUCGCGCGGGCCACCUGUGAGUGACUUCCGGGAGCCAGCGGCCACCGCGGUGAAGGCGCGCGCCCAACGUCUUUGCGAAGCUCACUUGGUCUGAGAGGUCGGAGGCUGCGAGUGUCCCUGCUGAAGGCUGUGGUGGACCGGGCUGGAUCGCGGAUUUUGGAGUAUAUCAUAGAUUUCUGAUCGCGGACUGGGGGUUGGAUCGCGGAUUUGGAGUUGGAUCGGGACUUGGGGUUGGAUAGGGGAUUUGGGGCUGGGUCGGCGGGGGCAGGGGCUCCUGGUGAAAAGGUGACAGGAAGCUGCCCCCGCUCGAGAGCCGGUGGUUGGGGGUCUGAGAAGUCACCACCAUGAGGUUGUUCAGCUUCGGGAGCCGCAGGCGCCAGACGGUCCUGGGCUCCAUAGACCACGACUACACGGGUUGAGGGUACCGAGUCUGGGAGGCCAAACUGCAGAAGAUCCACAGGGCGGCUGUCAAGGGUGACGCGGCGGAGGUGGAGCGCUGCCUGGCCCGCAGGAGCGGACACCUGGACGCCCUGGACAAGCAGCACAGAACUGCUCUACAUUUGGCCUGUGCCAGUGGCCAUGUGAAAGUGGUCACUCUCCUGGUUAACAGAAAAUGCCAGACUGAUAUCUGCGACAAAGAAAACAGAACGCCUUUGAUACAGGCAGUCCAUUGCCAGGAAGAGGCUUGUGCCGUUAUUCUGCUGGAACAUGGCGCCAAUCCAGACCUUAAGGAUAUCUAAGGCAACACUGCUCUCCAUUAUGCUGUGUGUAGUGAGAGCACCUCACUGGCAGAAAAACUGCUUUCACAUGGUGCAAAUAUUGAAGCACUGGACAAGGUAUAGUUCAAUCAACUUUCUUUCCAAAAUAUUUGUUUUAACAUUGACAUAGGUAAGGGUCAAUUUUUUAUAUUUGGAAGCUCAACCGUUCCCUGAAAGCAAAUGCAAAUUAAGUUAUUUUGAAAUAAUUAAUUGUCUAAGAUUUUAUUUUAAAUAUUGAUCUUUUGAAAGAAUCAUUAAGGGGCACAGCUUUAUAAAAUGCACUUUGGAAAAUAUUUGUGAAUUUGUUAAAGGUAAAACCUUUUCACUGUUUCCUACACAGGGUUAUGCUUUUCCUUCUUUUUUUUUCCUAAUUAGUAUAAAACAACACAGGAAAGAAAAUAUGCCCUGGAAAUAGGCUUUAUCUUAAAACUCAAACAAAACUAAAGCAACUUACAGUAAAUGGACAUGUUGCUCCUGCUGAUAAUUUUCUGAAAAUCUGAUGUAUCAUUUCUCAGUGGCACAAGGCUUAAGAGGGAAGCAUAGGAAGGGAAAAGGAGAGCAAUCAGAAAUAUGCAGGUCACUUGGAAGUUAGGUAAUGAGGGAAAAUGACAGGAAGAGUUUUUUUUUUUUUUUUUUUUUAAGUUCUUCUAGUUUAUGUGUUGAGACAAAGGUGCUCUUUAGUUUUGGGUCUAAUAAUUUUUGGCUUGAAAAUGAGAGUGAGUUGAAACUUGCCUGGAGAUUAAUUUUAGGAGGAGUCUGAGGAAACCAGAUUGGCAGUGAAUAUAUGUUGACAAAGUGAGAAAAACUUCAGCAGAAGGUGGAACAAAUUAUUAACUGACUUAUUGCCCAUCCUGGCAGAAACAGCCACUUAGAUAAGAGUCUAAAGACUCUUCUCAAAUCUAGUAUGUCUUGGUGGGAAGAUGGGAGAUAAGGAGCUUAUAAAUAGCAAAAUCAAGUAGGAAUUUGAGUUUACUUGUCCCUGUUCUACCCAUACCCAGGAAACUUAACUGGAGCUUUAAUAAAUGACACCAUCUCUUACUCUUUUCUCUUUUUGGCUACAUGUCCAACUGAUAAAGGGAAUUAGCCAUGCAAGUGAGAGAUGAGACUGAAGUGAUUGCCGCACUAAUUCUCAGAAUUGCGCGUUACAGUGACCUGAGGACAUUUUGUUAAAAAUCUACAAUUGUAGGCUUUCCCCUGAGGAUUUUGAUGUAAUAGACCUAAUAAGGCCUGAACCUGUUUAAAAACAUCUUCUCGAAGCUGGGCACAGUGAUAUGUUCCUGUAGUCCCUGCUUGAGCCUGAGCGUUUGAGUCCAGCUUGAGCAACAUAGUGAGACUCUUGUCUCUAACAGCAACGGCCAAAAAAAAAAAAAAAAAAAAAAAAAAAAA